GUUGCUCGCUUCAGCAGCACAUACUGAAAUUGGAACAAUACAGAGAAGAUUAGCAUGGCCACUGAGCAAGGAUGGUGGGCGCAAAUUCUUGAAGUGUUCCAUAUUAAA